rnacentral:misc_RNA from 1 species
GGAGGGAUCAUUGCUGGAACUGUGUCCGCAAGGACACAACCCCAGAUACCCUUUGUGAACUUAUUCUUAUAUCGUUGCCUCGGCGCUGAGCUGGGGGCUUCUUUCCAAGGAGCUCUCCCAUGGUCUCUCGGGACGAUGGAGCAAGCCCGCCGGCGGCCCUUCUAAACUCUUGUUUUUAUUACGUAUCUCUUCUGAGUUAUUCAAAACAAAAUGAAUCAAAACUUUCAACAACGGAUCUCUUGGUUCUGGCAUCGAUGAAGAACGCAGCGAAAUGCGAUAAGUAAUGUGAAUUGCAGAAUUCAGUGAAUCAUCGAAUCUUUGAACGCACAUUGCGCCCGCUGGAAUUCCAGCGGGCAUGCCUGUUCGAGCGUCAUUUCACCCCUCAAGCCUUGCUUGGUGUUGGAGCACUACCGUUUGUAUAAAGCGGUAGGCUCU